AGUAACGCGUGGAUAACCUGCCUUGCACUGGGGGAUAACACUUAGAAAUAGGUGCUAAUACCGCAUAAGCGCACAGAACCGCAUGGCUCAGUGUGAAAAACUCCGGUGGUGUAAGAUGGAUCCGCGUCUGAUUAGCUGGUUGGCGGGGUAGAAGCCCACCAAGGCGACGAUCAGUAGCCGGCCUGAGAGGGUGAACGGCCACAUUGGGACUGAGACACGGCCCAAACUCCUACGGGAGGCAGCAG
rnacentral:rRNA from 1 species